AGUGAACGCUGGCGGUAGGCCUAACACAUGCAAGUCGAACGGCAGCACAGUAAGAGCUUGCUCUUACGGGUGGCGAGUGGCGGACGGGUGAGGAAUACAUCGGAAUCUACUUUUUCGUGGGGGAUAACGUAGGGACACUUACGCUAAUACCGCAUACGACCUACGGGUGAAAGCAGUGGAUCUUCGCACCUUGCGCGUUUGUAUGAGCCGAUGUCGGAUUAGCUAGUUGGCGGGGUAAAGGCCCACCAAGGCGACGAUCCGUAGCUGGUCUGAGAGGAUGAUCAGCCACACUGGAACUGAGACACGGUCCAGACUCCUACGGGAGGCAGCAGUGGGGAAUAUUGGACAAUGGGCGCAAGCCUGAUCCAGCCAUACCGCGUGGGUGAAGAAGGCCUUCGGGUUGUAAAGCCCUUUUGUUGGGAAAGAAAAGCAGCAGGUUAAUACCCCGCUGUUCUGACGGUACCCAAAGAAUAAGCACCGGCUAACUUCGUG
rnacentral:rRNA from 1 species